CAAGCCGAAGAGGCUACUGCAACAAUUAUUUAGACAGAAGUCUGGUUCUGGUACUGAGAUGCCUCGGCCAGAGAGGUCCCACGAGAGCAAUUUCGUGUCCAAAGGAAUUUUGCCGGUUCACAGAACAUCAUCGUCUUCAUGUACUACCAGAGCGAUUCAAGAGGCUGAUGUCGAGCCUAAACCUGUAGCUUCGAUUCUCUACACACUUGUAGAAGCUGGUCCUACACCAUCAGCGGCUUGGGGGCAAGCCGCAUUUUAAGGAGUGGGGAAUGUUAGCUCCGCUACACAGGAAGCACAGAGGAUGCGUCGGCGUCAAGCAAGGAGUUGUUGUCAGCAAAGGAAACUGACGACACGAGCAACCUAAAGACAGAUAAGUUUUUGCAUCAGAAGCAGGCCAUGUCGCAGCAGAUAAGUUGCCAAACGGUGCUGUUGAGGUGCACUCUCUACCUAAAGAUGCUUCCGCAUUUGAUAUGUUACCUUCAGCUGAGGGAAUAGAUGUUGAAGCCCCUUCCAUGAGUGCUAAUGCACAAGGUUCAUCAACGCCAGAUGCCAAUGAAGAUGACAUUGAAAAAUAUGCAGAUUUGGAAGAGGACAAUACAGAAAGCUUGAUAUCUCCUGGACAAGUUUUUGCUUCUGGUAAAGAUAUACAAUCAGAAUAUACUGCAGUUGUCAGUCAUGUGGAUGAAGGCUCGAUAGAGAAAACAGAUGACUUUCAGCUCAAUGGCCUUCCAUUUGAGCACAACCAAAAUCUGAAUGGAGAUGUGUCUACAGCGACAACACUAUUUGAUCAUUUCACUCUGCAUGGGGGACGCCUUCUAGGCAAGUACUAUGAGAAUGUCAUGGGGAUGCUGCGACAGUUCCUGAUGAUGAUUCAAUUGACCAAUCAGAUGGCAGGAUCCAUGACGAUGAAGGCAAGGUGACAUUAGGUACUGAUGUUAAUGAAUAUGUUACUUCUGCGGCAAACAACAACGAGGAGAAUCUUGAUAUUACAUCAGUACAGCAAUCUGAAGUCACUAGAGCUGAUUUCUUGGAUGUCACAAGCAAUACUGAAUACAACCUAACAUCAACUCUAGAUUAUGCAACUUCAAGUGCACUGUUGCAAGAUUCUCCUUACAGAGUUUACAGGAAAACCGACAAUUCCAGAACAUCUCUCCUUUCUCAAGCUUCAUGUUCAUCACACUCCACGCCGCCGCUGCCUCGACCAGGAUGGUGUCGAUCUCAUGGAGGACGUCCACCUAAGUCCCAAGAACACCCACGCCCAAGCCCUUCUAGGCAAGUACUACGAGAAGAAGGGGCUCAUCGCUGAAGCUUGGGAAUCCUUCAAUCGACCCAGACCAUGCCAUGAGUCAUCUUUGUUGACCUUACCCCCACCUCUUAGCGAGAGAAUUCUUGUGAUUUUCUUGAUUUUUGUUGUUCGCCUGUUCAUGUUUGAUGUCACUAAUUUUAUUUGUUGUUGUUGUUGUGCAGAUUUGAGAUCGAGCGAAGCUAAGCUUUUCAUCAAGAUGGCGCUUUUUCGACUUGUGGUGUGGCAUGUCAUGAUGGCCUCAAAUCAUCAGUGUUACAGGUGGCCACCACAAGCGAGGGGUCUGCUUCAACUUCUUGACAGAGACAGAUCGGAGGCUUUCUUGGCAAUGGAAAGUUUUGUUGGUAGUAGUAUUAGCUUUAUAGGGGGACAUGUCAUUAGGGUUGAUCUUGUGCUUUUGAGGCCUUGCUUACAGGCACGGUACUACUGAAAUAGUUAGCAAAAGAUGGCAAUACUGAUGUAAUCCAGAAUGUAGCAGUACAUAUCAACUGCCGUCUUAGUUUCAGUUCAUGAAGUGAAUAAUGCAUACCAAACUAUGUCCCAGUUCAAAGCA